GCACUCUGAAGAGGCAGCUUUGAACAUUUGCAGGCCAAGAGGAGACCAGCACUGGGUUAGGUCCCCAGCAACUGCUACUUUCCUGCUCCUUGCCACUCCUCAGCUCCCGUGGCAUUUCAUUUCUGAAAGCACUAAAAAGAGAAAUGGAGGCAUGGGCAGGACACAAGAAGGCCCUUGCCACAUUAGUCACCCUGACCACCACAGGCUUCUCAGGCCUUGCAGCCUAAUGCAUAGAAGACAGACUUCUCAACUCUAAAUGAGGCUUGGAGCACUGUGGGAAAAGUUAUAUUUUAAUUGCUGAGGCAAUGGAGAGCCACUUGUCAAAGGGAACCAGGUAGCUAUCUUGGAGGAAGCUGGCUGAAGAGAUGGGAAGAUCAACUAGGGGACCAUUGUGGUUCAUCUGUAUGGGAGCUCCUACAUGUCACAGAAGCUCUGCACAAACUCUGAAUGUCCAGCUGACUGAAAAUUUUAAAAGUGACUUCUAGAGGCAGCAGUUCAACAAAGUUAUUUUGACUCUCGUUUAUUGCCUUCUCAGCAUCCACAGAAUUCAAUUCUAUGUCAGAAACUCUCAAAUUAUUGUUUCUCUUGGAAUUUUUCUGCAUAGCGUGAUGUUUUAAUAAAUUAUCUUCAUUUGUAACCUAAAA